rnacentral:rRNA from 1 species
UACAGAGGUCUCAAGCGUUGUUCGGAUUCAUUGGGCGUAAAGGGUGCGUAGGCGGCGCGGUAAGUCGGGUGUGAAAGUCACAGGCUCAACCUGUGAAUGCCGCUGGAAACUGUCUGGCUAGAGUCCGGAAGGGGCGAGUGGAAUUCCUGGUGUAGCGGUGAAAUGCGCAGAUAUCAGGAGGAACACCAAUGGCGAAGGCAGCUCGCUGGGACGGUACUGACGCUGAGGCGCGAAAGCGUGGGGAGCAAACAGG